rnacentral:rRNA from 1 species
AUGGAACGCGGGCGGCAGGCUUAACACAUGCAAGUCGAGCGAGCGGCGGACGGGGGUGGAAUGUAGGGGGGUCUGCCUGAUGGAGGGGAAUAACUAGUGGAAACGGUAGCUAAUACCACAUACCAACAGAGGAACCCAUAUGGGAUUAGCGGGUAGGUGAGGUAACGGCGUACCUAGGCGACGAUCCCUAGCUGGUCUGAGAGGAUGAUCAGCCACAGUUGGACUACGACACGGCCCAGAAUCCUACGGGAGGCAGCAGUGGGGAAUCUUGCACAGUGGGCGCAAGCCUGAUGAAGCCAUGCCGCGUGUAUGAAGAAGGCCUUAGGGUUGUAAAGUACUUUCAGCGGGGAGGCGUUACCCGCAGAAGAAGCACCGGCUAACUCCGUGCCAGCCGCCGCGGUAAUUC